rnacentral:rRNA from 1 species
UACGAAGGGUGCAAGCGUUAAUCGGAAUUACUGGGCGUAAAGGGUGCGUAGGCGGUUCGUUAAGUCUGUCGUGAAAUCCCCGGGCUCAACCUGGGAACGGCGAUGGAUACUGGCGAGCUAGAGUGUGUCAGAGGAUGGUGGAAUUCCCGGUGUAGCGGUGAAAUGCGUAGAGAUCGGGAGGAACAUCAGUGGCGAAGGCGGCCAUCUGGGACAACACUGACGCUGAAGCACGAAAGCGUGGGGAGCAAACAGG